rnacentral:rRNA from 1 species
GGUUAAGCGACUAAGCGUACACGGUGGAUGCCCUGGCAGUCAGAGGCGAUGAAGGACGUGCUAAUCUGCGAUAAGCGUCGGUGAGGUGAUAUGAACCGUUAUAACCGGCGAUUUCCGAAUGGGGAAACCCAGUGUGUUUCGACACACUAUCAUUAACUGAAUCCAUAGGUUAAUGAGGCGAACCGGGGGAACUGAAACAUCUAAGUACCCCGAGGAAAAGAAAUCAACCGAGAUUCCCCCAGUAGCGGCGAGCGAACGGGGAGGAGCCCAGAGCCUGAAUCAGUGUGUGUGUUAGUGGAAGCGUCUGGAAAGGCGCGCGAUACAGGGUGACAGCCCCGUACACAAAAAUGCACAUAUUGUGAGCUCGAUGAGUAGGGCGGGACACGUGGUAUCCUGUCUGAAUAUGGGGGGACCAUCCUCCAAGGCUAAAUACUCCUGACUGACCGAUAGUGAACCAGUACCGUGAGGGAAAGGCGAAAAGAACCCCGGCGAGGGGAGUGAAAAAGAACCUGAAACCGUGUACGUACAAGCAGUGGGAGCCUCUUAAUGGGGUGACUGCGUACCUUUUGUAUAAUGGGUCAGCGACUUAUAUUCUGUAGCAAGGUUAACCGAAUAGGGGAGCCGAAGGGAAACCGAGUCUUAACUGGGCGUUAAGUUGCAGGGUAUAGACCCGAAACCCGGUGAUCUAGCCAUGGGCAGGUUGAAGGUUGGGUAACACUAACUGGAGGACCGAACCGACUAAUGUUGAAAAAUUAGCGGAUGACUUGUGGCUGGGGGUGAAAGGCCAAUCAAACCGGGAGAUAGCUGGUUCUCCCCGAAAGCUAUUUAGGUAGCGCCUCGUGAAUUCAUCUCCGGGGGUAGAGCACUGUUUCGGCAAGGGGGUCAUCCCGACUUACCAACCCGAUGCAAACUGCGAAUACCGGAGAAUGUUAUCACGGGAGACACACGGCGGGUGCUAACGUCCGUCGUGAAGAGGGAAACAACCCAGACCGCCAGCUAAGGUCCCAAAGUCAUGGUUAAGUGGGAAACGAUGUGGGAAGGCCCAGACAGCCAGGAUGUUGGCUUAGAAGCAGCCAUCAUUUAAAGAAAGCGUAAUAGCUCACUGGUCGAGUCGGCCUGCGCGGAAGAUGUAACGGGGCUAAACCAUGCACCGAAGCUGCGGCAGCGACACUAUGUGUUGUUGGGUAGGGGAGCGUUCUGUAAGCCUGUGAAGGUGGCCUGUGAGGGUUGCUGGAGGUAUCAGAAGUGCGAAUGCUGACAUAAGUAACGAUAAAGCGGGUGAAAAGCCCGCUCGCCGGAAGACCAAGGGUUCCUGUCCAACGUUAAUCGGGGCAGGGUGAGUCGACCCCUAAGGCGAGGCCGAAAGGCGUAGUCGAUGGGAAACAGGUUAAUAUUCCUGUACUUGGUGUUACUGCGAAGGGGGGACGGAGAAGGCUAUGUUGGCCGGGCGACGGUUGUCCCGGUUUAAGCGUGUAGGCUGGUUUUCCAGGCAAAUCCGGAAAACCAAGGCUGAGGCGUGAUGACGAGGCACUACGGUGCUGAAGC